GUGGUAGUGGUGGUGAUGGUUUGGUGAGAGUCAGCUCAGAGGAAACGUGACAAAGAAAGUGUCUCCUUAAGGUUAGGUUACCAGCUUUGGAAUGUUUUCUUUGGCAUAGAAUGUAGGAGAAGUAUGACAAAUCAACAACCAUUUACGGAGCUCCCUUUCAGCCAAGGCGGUACCAAGUUUCCUUGACGAGGAAGAAAGAUGGCAGGAGAGGACCCUGGCUUCUCCCCAGGGGUUCACUGACGCUUGGGGAGUCUGCCAGGAAGCAGUUCAAGAUGCCUGGCGACCAACUGGGACAUGGAACCUCGAACAAUGCCCCACACUGGCUACAUAAUGUGAAAACAGCUGAAGAAGAAAUAAAGCAAAAGAGAAAAACAAGGAAAAGAGGGUAAACAAAGAGAGAAUUCACCUUUCAUGCUCCUGCAAAGUCCUCGGUUGGGGAAUGAAGUUAAGACACAAAAGCUUUGCAACAACAACAUUGUGGGGGAAGGCACAAGAGGGGAGCCGAACAGCCA
rnacentral:lncRNA from 1 species